AUGGACGACGCGCUGGGAGCGCAGAGGACAGCACAAGGAUCUGCUCAGGAUGACCUGCCAAGAUGGCGGGAACGAUACGGAAAUCGAUGAAACGGAUGUCAGAGACACAGUCUGGAAUACCCCGCCUCGGCGGGGUUUC
rnacentral:sRNA from 1 species